rnacentral:rRNA from 1 species
UACGUAGGGGGCAAGCGUUGUCCGGAUUUAUUGGGCGUAAAGAGCGUGUAGGCGGCCAUGUAGGUCCGUUGUGAAAACUCGAGGCUCAACCUCGAGACGCCGAUGGAAACCAUGUGGCUAGAGUCCGGAAGAGGAUAGUGGAAUUCCUGGUGUAGCGGUGAAAUGCGCAGAUAUCAGGAAGAACACCCGUGGCGAAGGCGGCUCUCUGGGACGGUACUGACGCUGAGACGCGAAAGCGUGGGGAGCGAACAGG